UACGUAGGUGGCAAGCGUUGUCCGGAUUUAUUGGGUUUAAAGGGUGCGUAGGCGGCUUGAUAAGUCAGUGGUGAAAGCCGAUCGCUUAACGAUCGAACUGCCAUUGAUACUGCCAGGCUUGAGUAUAGUUGAGGUAGGCGGAAUUGACAGUGUAGCGGUGAAAUGCAUAGAUAUUGUCAAGAACACCAAUUGCGAAGGCAGCUUACUAAAGUAUAACUGACGCUGAGGCACGAAAAGUGCGGGGGAUCAAAACAGG
rnacentral:rRNA from 1 species